GAUGAACGCUGGCGGCGUGCCUAAUACAUGCAAGUCGAGCGAACAGACGAGGAGCUUGCUCCUCAGACGUUAGCGGCGGACGGGGGAGUAACACGUGGAUAACCUACCUAUAAGACUGGGAUAAAUUCGGUAAACCGGAACUAAUACCGGAUAAUAUAUUGAACCGCAUGGUUCAAUAGUGAAAGACGGUUUUGCUGUCACUUAUAGAUGGAUCCGCGCCGCAUUAGCUAGUUGGUAAGGUAACGGCUUAUCAAGGCAACGAUGCGUAGCCGACCUGAGAGGGUGACAGGCCACGCUGGAACUGAGACACGGUCCAGACCCGUACGGGAGGCAGCAGUAGGGGAUCUUCCGCAAUGGGCGAAAGCCAGACGGAGCACCGAAGCGUGAGUGAUGAAGGUCUUCGGAUCGUAAAACUCUGUUAUUAGGGAAGAAAAAAUGUGUAAGUAACUAUGCACGUCUUGACGGUACCUAAUCAGAAAGCCACGGCUAACUACG
rnacentral:rRNA from 1 species